CUGAAAAACUUAGUGCGAAAAUGCCAUUGGCCUAAAACACGCACGAAUAAUUGUGCAAGCAUGGUUUGUUGGCGAGGGGAAUGAAGACAAUACAUUGUUCGAUUUCAUUUGUCGAAGCUUCGUUGGAUGUAAAUUUUUUAGUUGCGCAUAGCACCAUGCUGGAUGGAAAAAUUGGAGAAGUUCGAUAAUGCCAUUGAGAGUUACUGGAAAGCCUGCACUCGGAAAAUUUAAAUGAUGAACGAAUGCAAUCGCCAUAGUAGCAGACACCUCAUCAGGCAAUAUUAUGUAAAUGGAGUUCAGCGAUCCUGCAAUCGGAUUUGAAAAUGUCCAACAAACGCCGGCAAUCAGUGGUAAAGGCACUUCUAGUCUAAUUUUCAAAUAUUUUACGCUUAACUAACAAAUUUUUAAUAAAUUGUUUUAAUAGUUAUUUCUAUUGUA